CAACUCAACCUCGACUUCCGCCCCCCCGCAGCCCCCAGCUCCGCCCCCAUCUCCGUCUUCGCCCUGCCGCCGUCGCCCUCCGACCUCUACAUCUCGCAGUCUCCCAAACUUCUCUGCCUGGUCACCAGCCUGCCCAGCGACGAGGGCCUGGCCGUCACCUGGAGCCGGGUGGGCGGCGGCCAUCUUGGCCAGCCCCUCCCCCUGCGGCUGAGCCACCACUUCAACGGGACCUUCACGGCCGCCAGCGAGCUGCCGGUGGCCACCGGCGACUGGGAGGGCGGCGCCGCCUUCGUCUGCCGGGUGGGGCACGCCGAGCUGCCGGCGCCGCUGGAGAGGAGGGUGGAGAGGCGGCAAG